GAUGAAGAACGUAGCGAAACGCGAUAAGUAAUGUGAAUUGCAGAAUCCAGUGAAUCAUCGAAUCUUUGAACGCACAUUGCGCCCGCCAGCAUUCUGGCGGGCAUGCCUGUUCGAGCGUCAUUUCAACCCUCGACCUCCCCUUGGGGAGGUCGGCGUUGGGGACCGGCAGCACACCGCCGGCCCUGAAAUGGAGUGGCGGCCCGUCCGCGGCGACCUCUGCGCAGUAAUACAGCUCGCACCGGGACCCCGACGCGGUCACGCCGUAAAACACCCAACUUCUGAACGUUGACCUCGAAUCAGGUAGGACUACCCGCUGAACUUAAGCAUAUCAAUAAGCGGAGGA
rnacentral:misc_RNA from 1 species